rnacentral:rRNA from 1 species
GAGUUUGAUCUUGGCUCAGGAUGAACGCUGGCGGCGUGCCUAAUACAUGCAAGUCGAGCGAACAGACGAGGAGCUUGCUCCUCUGACGUUAGCGGCGGACGGGUGAGUAACACGUGGAUAACCUACCUAUAAGACUGGGAUAACUUCGGGAAACCGGAGCUAAUACCGGAUAAUAUAUUGAACCGCAUGGUUCAAUAGUGAAAGACGGUUUUGCUGUCACUUAUAGAUGGAUCCGCGCCGCAUUAGCUAGUUGGUAAAGUAACGGCUUACCAAGGCAACGAUGCGUAGCCGACCUGAGAGGGUGAUCGGCCACACUGGAACUGAGACACGGUCCAGACUCCUACGGGAGGCAGCAGUAGGGAAUCUUCCGCAAUGGGCGAAAGCCUGACGGAGCAACGCCGCGUGAGUGAUGAAGGUCUUCGGAUCGUAAAACUCUGUUAUUAGGGAAGAACAAAUGUGUAAGUAACUAUGCACGUCUUGACGGUACCUAAUCAGAAAGCCACGGCUAACUACGUGCCAGCCC